rnacentral:rRNA from 1 species
ACGGAAGGCAGCAGUGGGGAAUAUUGCACAAUGGGCGAAAGCCUGAUGCAGCGACGCCGCGUGAGUGAAGAAGUAUCUCGGUAUGUAAAGCUCUAUCAGCAGGGAAGAAAAUGACGGUACCUGACUAAGAAGCCCCGGCUAACUACGUGCCAGCAGCCGCGGUAAUACGUAGGGGGCAAGCGUUAUCCGGAUUUACUGGGUGUAAAGGGAGCGUAGACGGUUUGGCAAGUCUGAAGUGAAAUGCGGGGGCUCAACUCCUGAACUGCUUUGGAAACUGUCGAACUAGAGUGCAGGAGAGGUAAGUGGAAUUCCUAGUGUAGCGGUGAAAUGCGUAGAUAUUAGGAGGAACACCAGUGGCGAAGGUGGCUUACUGGACUGUAACUGACGUUGAGGCUCGAAAGCGUGGGGAGCAAACAGGAUUAGAUACCCUGGUA